rnacentral:rRNA from 1 species
GAUGAACGCUGGCGGCGUGCCUAAUACAUGCAAGUCGAGCGAACGGACGAGAAGCUUGCUUCUCUGAUGUUAGCGGCGGACGGGUGAGUAACACGUGGAUAACCUACCUAUAAGACUGGGAUAACUUCGGGAAACCGUAGCUAAUACCGGAUAAUAUUUUGAACCGCAUGGUUCAAAAGUGAAAGACGGUCUUGCUGUCACUUAUAGAUGGAUCCGCGCUGCAUUAGCUAGUUGGUAGGGUAACGGCUUACCAAGGCAACGAUGCAUAGCCGACCUGAGAGGGUGAUCGGCCACACUGGAACUGAGACACGGUCCAGACUCCUACGGGAGGCAGCAGUAGGGAAUCUUCCGCAAUGGGCGAAAGCCUGACGGAGCAACGCCGCGUGAGUGAUGAAGGUCUUCGGAUCGUAAAACUCUGUUAUUAGGGAAGAACAUAUGUGUAAGUAACUGUGCACAUCUUGACGGUACCCAAUCAGAAAGCCACGGCUAACUACGUG